UACAGGGGGUGCAAGCGUUGCUCGGAAUCACUGGGCGUAAAGCGAGCGCAGGCGGACCGUUAAGUCGGGUGUGAAAUCCCGGGGCUCAACCCCGGAACUGCAUUCGAAACUGGCGGUCUUGAGUACGGGAGAGGUGAGUGGAAUUCCUGGUGUAGAGGUGAAAUUCGUAGAUAUCAGGAGGAACACCGGUGGCGAAAGCGGCUCACUGGCCCGAUACUGACGCUCAUGCUCGAAAGCGUGGGGAGCAAACAGG
rnacentral:rRNA from 1 species